AUGGGAGACAGAGAAGAGAACUGGGAAGAGGUUCUAAGGUAGCCGGGAGCAGAAGGGGACAUCUGCUGAGACUCACUCAAUGGCUAACACUACAGACAUGAUGACUAAACUUCCCAGCAGUGUAGACGCCCAUCGGGUUUAUUAGAAGUAAGAAGAGAAGUGACAUUUGGACAAAUGAACAGGCACACACGUGUUAUUUAGCACGAGAGCCGACAG